AAGCCACAAAAAAGAAAAUAUCAAAAAAAUAGAAAAAGCUGCAUCUCACUAAAUGCAUGAAGCCUCUCCUCCUCCUCCUCUUAUUCCUCCUCCUCCUCCUCCUCCUCCUUUCUCAGAUU
rnacentral:ribozyme from 1 species